rnacentral:rRNA from 1 species
UACAGAGGUCUCAAGCGUUGUUCGGAUUCAUUGGGCGUAAAGGGUGCGUAGGUGGCGAGGUUAGUCAGGUGUGAAAUCUCGGGGCUCAACCCCGAAACUGCACUUGAUACUGCCUUGCUAGAGUACUGGAGAGGAGAUUGGAAUUUACGGUGUAGCAGUGAAAUGCGUAGAUAUCGUAAGGAAGACCAGUGGCGAAGGCGAAUCUCUGGACAGUUACUGACACUGAGGCACGAAGGCCCAGGGGAGCAAACGGG